CAUGACGUCGGAAUUCCUAGUAAUCGUGCUUUAGCACAGCACGGUGAAUAUGUCCCUGCUCUUUGCACACACCGCCCGUCAAACCAACCGAGCGGGGUUGAGAUGAGGUUUGGCUCUGUCAUAUCGAAUCUUAACUUCGUGAGGCGGGUUAAGUCGUCACAAGGUAUCCGUAGGGGAACCUACGGAUGGAUCACCUCCU
rnacentral:rRNA from 1 species